GACGAACGCUGGCGGCGUGCUUAACACAUGCAAGUCGAACGAUGAAGCGCCAGCUUGCUGGUGUGGAUUAGUGGCGAACGGGUGAGUAACACGUGAGUAACCUGCCCCCUACUCUGGGAUAAGCCUGGGAAACUGUGUCUAAUACUGGAUAUGACCAAUCACUGCAUGGUGUGUUGGUGGAAAGAUUUUUUGGUGGGGGAUGGACUCGCGGCCUAUCAGCUUGUUGGUGGGGUAAUGGCCUACCAAGGCGACGACGGGUAGCCGGCCUGAGAGGGCGACCGGCCACACUGGGACUGAGACACGGCCCAGACUCCUACGGGAGGCAGCAGUGGGGAAUAUUGCACAAUGGGCGAAAGCCUGAUGCAGCGACGCCGCGUGAGGGAUGACGGCCUUCGGGUUGUAAACCUCUUUCACCAGGGAAGAAGCUAACGUGACGGUACCUGGAGAAGAAGCACCGGCUAACUACGUG
rnacentral:rRNA from 1 species